rnacentral:rRNA from 1 species
UACAGAGGGGGCGAGCGUUAAUCGGAAUUACUGGGCGUAAAGCGUGCGUAGGCGGUUCGCUGUGUCCGAUGUGAAAGCCCCGGGCUUAACCUGGGAAUGGCAUUGGAAACUGGCGGGCUUGAGUGCGGCAGAGGGGGGUGGAAUUCCGCGUGUAGCAGUGAAAUGCGUAGAGAUGCGGAGGAACACCGGAUGGCGAAGGCAGCCCCCUGGGUCGACACUGACGCUCGAGGCACGAAAGGCGUGGGGAGCAAACAGG